rnacentral:rRNA from 1 species
CUUUUCUCCCACACCACUCUAGGUGUGUCUGAUCUUGUCUGUUCACUGAAGCUAAGCAGGGCUGGGCCUGGUCAGUACCUAGACGGGAGGCUACCUACAAAAACCAAGCGCUGUAGGCU